UACGGAGGGAGCUAGCGUUGUUCGGAAUUACUGGGCGUAAAGCGCACGUAGGCGGCUUUUUAAGUCAGGGGUGAAAUCCCGGGGCUCAACCCCGGAACUGCCCUUGAAACUGGAGAGCUAGAAUCUUGGAGAGGCGAGUGGAAUUCCGAGUGUAGAGGUAGAAAUUCGUAGAUAUCUGGAGGAACACCGGUGGCGAAGGCGGCAUCCUGGACCGACACUGACGCUGAGGCGGCGAAAGCUAGGGAGCAAACGGG
rnacentral:rRNA from 1 species